rnacentral:lncRNA from 1 species
UUAAAUAACUAAAACUACAUUAAAUCAAUUAUCUGAUAACUAAGUUACAUGAUUCUAACACAGUUGAGCUCUGAACCAUAACUCACUAAACUAAGUCAUGAGCCUCUAAUGAUUUAAAUUUGAAUACAUUAACUGUAACGCAUUGAAUAAAUAAUGUGCCAAAAAAAAUAACAUAAGCUGAAGAAAUCCGACCACCAAUGAAAAACUAACAGGGCUCGCCAACUGAGUCCACGGAGUCUGUCUCUAGCCACAUAUCUCAUCACCUACAAUCUCAACACUUGCCACACAACGUGACAAGCCCAAACAGGCUAAGUACCACCAAAGGAUACCCAGUAAGUCUCAUUGGCUACUCUUAAAAGAUAGAGCAAGAUUUUCUGGGAAAAUCAUAAAACGAAAGGAAGGGGGUUCAGAUAAUAUCAUGGCAAUAAAUUCAGUAAAUAAUAAAUGAGCUAGAAACUGAAACUAUAAGCAAAAUUGUAAGUUGAUAACUGAAAACAUAGAAACUGAGUUUAUAACUGUUAACUCAUGAAACUGAAGCUGGAAACUAAAUUAGCUUCAAAGAAAUAACAUUUCUGGAAAAUAGUUAUACAUAGUGGUCCUACGUACGUGAGAUCUAGCAACACGAACGGGGGAGUGUCGGCCUAUCUCACCAGCACAUAAUAGCCCCUACGAGCAUUGGAUCGCUAACCCUAGCAUCAAAGCACUCACACAAGGGGAGGUCGGCUAGCUCUCCCUUCUGAAUGUGAUCACAUUAAUGCAUAAAUGAGUGUUGAAACAAAAUAUAAAUAUCACAACCAAAGGCACACAGCAAAUAAUAAUACAUAUAAGCAUAUAUAAGACUGGCACAUUGCAUUUAAAGUCAUACUAAAUAAGAAUAGAGUAAUCUAAGUACCGGAGCAUAAACAGAUAUGGCUUAGAAAUUUCAUCGAAUACAUAGAAGCAUGUUCGCUCUAAUGGAAU